rnacentral:rRNA from 1 species
GAUUGAACGCUGGCGGCAGGCCUAACCCAUGCAAGUCGAGCGGAUGAAGGGAGCUUGCUCCUGGAUUCAGCGGCGGACGGGUGAGUAAUGCCUAGGAAUCUGCCUGGUAGUGGGGGAUAACGUCCGGAAACGGGCGCUAAUACCGCAUACGUCCUGAGGGAGAAAGUGGGGGAUCUUCGGACCUCACGCUAUCAGAUGAGCCUAGGUCGGAUUAGCUAGUUGGUGGGGUAAAGGCCUACCAAGGCGACGAUCCGUAACUGGUCUGAGAGGAUGAUCAGUCACACUGGAACUGAGACACGGUCCAGACUCCUACGGGAGGCAGCAGUGGGGAAUAUUGGACAAUGGGCGAAAGCCUGAUCCAGCCAUGCCGCGUGUGUGAAGAAGGUCUUCGGAUUGUAAAGCACUUUAAGUUGGGAGGAAGGACAGUAAGUUAAUACCUUGCUGUUUUGACGUUACCAACAGAAUAAGCACCGGCUAACUUCGUG